rnacentral:rRNA from 1 species
AUUGAACGCUGGCGGCAGGCUUAACACAUGCAAGUCGAGCGAGCGGCGGACGGGUGAGUAAUGUCUGGGAAACUGCCUGAUGGAGGGGGAUAACUACUGGAAACGGUAGCUAAUACCGCAUACCAUCAGAUGUGCCCAGAUGGGAUUAGCUUGUUGGUGGGGUAAUGGCUCACCGAGGCGACGAUCCCUAGCUGGUCUAAGAGGAUGACCAGCCACACUGGAACGGAGAGACGGUCCAGACUCCGACGGGAGGCAGCAGUGGGGAAUAUUGCACAAUGGGCGCAAGCCUGAUGCAGCCAUGCCGCGUGUGUGAAGAAGGCCGUCGGGUUGUAAAGUACUUUCAGCGGGGAGGCGUUACUCGCAGAAGAAGCACCGGCUAACUCCGUGCCAGCAGCCGCGGUAAUAC